AUUGAACGCUGGCGGCAGGCUUAACACAUGCAAGUCGAGCGGGGUGAGGUGCUUCGGUACUGAUCCUAGCGGCGGACGGGUGAGUAAUGCUUAGGAAUCUGCCAUUUAGUGGGGGACAACAUUCCGAAAGGAAUGCUAAUACCGCAUACGUCCUACGGGAGAAAGCAGGGGAUCUUCGGACCUUGCGCUAAAUGAUGAGCCUAAGUCGGAUUAGCUAGUUGGUGGGGUAAAGGCCUACCAAGGCGACGAUCUGUAGCGGGUCUGAGAGGAUGGUCCGCCACACUGGGACUGAGACACGGCCCAGACUCCUACGGGAGGCAGCAGUUGGGAAUAUUGGACAAUGGGCGGAAGCCUGAUCCAGCCAUGCCGCGUGUGUGAAGAAGGCCUUUUGGUUGUAAAGCACUUUAAGCGAGGAGGAGGCUACCUGGAUUAAUACUCUAGGAUAGUGGACGUUACUCGCAGAAUAAGCACCGGCUAACUCUGUGCCAGCAGCCGCGGUAAGAC
rnacentral:rRNA from 1 species